ACCCGCUGGAUUUAAGCAUAUAACUAAGCGGAGGAAAAGAAACUAACCAGGAUUCCCCCAGUAACGGCGAGUGAAGCGGGAAGAGCUCACGUUGUAAAUCUGACUUUCGGGUCCGAAUUGUAGUCUGGAGAGGCGAGGCCAGCCGGCGGUGGGGGCGAAGUCUCUUGGAAAAGAGCAUCAAGGAGGGUGACAAUCCCGUUCUUGCCCCCGAUUUCCGUCGCGCGUACGGCCCGUUUUCUACGAGUCGAGUUGCUUGGGAUUGCAGCUCAAAGCGGGUGGUAAAUUCCAUCUAAAGCUAAACACGGGUGGGAGACCGAUAGCGAACAAGUACCGUGAGGGAAAGAUGCAAAGAACUUUGAAAAGAGAGUUAAAGAGUGCCUGAAAUUGCUGAAAGGGAAGCGAAGGAAACCAGUGUCUGGCCGUUCCGCUUCUCCUCCGCUUUUCGAAGCGUUGGUUUGCGUUUCGGCCGUGGCCAGGGCUGGGUGGUGUUGCGGGAAGUCGCGUCAGGGAAGGUAGCUUUCUUUGAAAGUGAAUACCCUGGCGUUUCGUCGCGACGCCGGCUGUCCCGA
rnacentral:rRNA from 1 species